AAGCGAUUGAGUAUAGGGGAAGUAGUUUAGAAUCUGCAACCUUGCGGGAGCUGGAGUAGAAAACAACUAGUUUUCUUAAUUGGUGACCUGUUGUGAAAGAUGCCUUUUUUUUCAAAAGGUUUUCCUUUUUACCUUUUGCAAGCCAAUGAUCGUGUUCAACCAGAUCACAUUGCUCAAACUCCAAGCCAACCCUAUCCUUUUCCUCAUCAAGUUUCUAUUUAGGCUAAGAUGAAAAAGAGCUCAUUGACAAGAACCACCAUUAAUCCUUGAGCAGCUCCGCAAAAAGUGCCCAUUGGCAGCUGCUCAUUUUGUGCCCAGGUGACAAUCUAGUGGUUUGGUUUUGUCCUUUGCGGAAGAAGCCUGAUGCUGCUAUCAAGAAUGCAGUAAAUAGUGCAAUGAAAUCAGUAAGCAAAAAUGCAGAGGGAAAGCCACCCUAACAUGGGCCUCAGUGGAUUGAAGUAAAGAGUCAUGUUCAAACAGGAAACUACGAGUGUGGAUACUAUGUUAUGCACUGGAUAUGGUGCAUCGUAAGUGUCGGAUUGAAGGAUGAAUGGAUUAGCUGAUUUUCUGAUGGAACAGCGGUAACAAAAGAGACCAUGACCACACUCCAUCAUAAAUGGGCGACAUAUUUUCUCCAAAUGAAGAAAUCAGAACUUAGAAAAAUUUAGAAAACUUAGGAACAUUUUUCGUUAAAGGAAGACAUUUUUUUAAACUGAUUUUGACAUCUUCCUUUUUCAUAUGUAUUUUAUGAUUAAAGUUCAAUUCAGAUGAUGGAACUGAUUUUCAAUCCAGCCCUUCGUUGUGGGCGUGUUCCUUGAACAAUACAUUGUUUCAGUGUUUAUUUUAUUUCUAUAUCCAAAUUCAUUUUUAACCUACUCAGUGGCUCUAUGUAACCUGCAUUUCAAUUCACUCCACGAACAACUAACCAAUGGGUAUACAAAUGUUCCUGUAGUCUACUUGUGCUUUUUACAGAUACAAUGCAUAUGGUCACUGCAGUGAAGGAGAAGACACUCAUUCUGGAAUGUCCAAUAAGGUAUGUCAUGUUUCAAGUAUUGAACAACAUUGACAUUAUCAACUCAAACUUCAGGUAACCAAGUGCAGAAAUUUUGGAAUUGCAACCACAUCUCUGUUAUUUGUUCAACUGUUUGACAUGUAGGAAGCUAAUGCUAAGUUUAUGGAAGCAAUGUAUAUGACUAAAUACAGGAAGGCAAAGAAAGGAAUUCAAUUCCUCAUCAAUGGUAGCAAAGUGGGUAAUUCACCAGAGGAAAUAACUAAUUUCCUUAAAGAUGCAUCUGGGUUGAACAAGACUGACAUAAACUGAGUUGUGAGUCACAUAAACUUCAGGAUAGAUGGAAGCAGUUUAUGUGGACCAAUACCAGUUUUAUUGGGAACUGGACCAAUCUUAUGACAUUGUGAGUAUACAUUUAGAACCAUGCAUUACUUCUAACUUAUAAGUGCAGGUUGAGGGAAGAUUCUUUGCUCUCUGUCACCUUUCCCUCCAAUGUUGAAUGAAGCUAUUGAAGUUAUGAAGAGGGCUGCACCUCUGGUGAUCUUUUAAUUAAAAUAUUUGGUAUUUGAAGUAAUUCUUUAUUUUGUUAUUUUGUUUUUUGACCAGCAUAUUUUUUACUCUGUGUUGAAUUGGGAUUCGUUUUAAAAGAUAUUGGAGGAGGUUUCACUUCUUAAUGAUGCGGUUUCUCAAAUUGAUGAGCCAUUCUUACUGGUUAUAGUGGGGGAAUUCAACUCUGGUAAAUCUACUGUGAUUAAUGCGCUUCUUGGAGAAAGAUAUCUCAAAGAGAUCACAUUUUUACGAUAUACUGACUUAGAUAUUGAACAACAACAUUGUGAAAGGCAUCCAGAUGGUCAAUAUAUUUGCUACAUUCCUGCUCCAAUUCUUAAGGAGGUAAGUCAAUUCCUUAUGGUUCCUUCCUGUCCUUUAUGUGUAUCAAGAUUCAAGACUCAGUUUUAUAUGUUAUCCCCUCUAACUACCAUUUUCUAUUCGUAAUUAGAAUGCUCUCAGCAGUUUUUUUGUUCUUCUGAAAACAAAUGACCAUUGUUGAUACACCUGGAACUAAUGUGAUUCUUUAGAGGCAGCAACGUCUUACAGAGGAAUUUGUACCCCGCGCAGAUUUACUUCUUUUUGUCAUUUUUGUUGAUCGCCCUUUAACUGGAAGUGAGAUUGCUUUUCUUCGUUAUUCUCAACAGUGGAAAAAGAAAGCAGUUUUUGUCUUGAAUAAAGCUGACAUAUAUCAGAAUAAUCAUGAGGUCAGUCUAUUAUGCAGCAACUGAUGUUGUAAUCCUCUGAUUCAUGAUUGAGGUGUGCUGCGCACCAAUGUUAGCUGCCUUCAAUGUUCCUCUUGCUCAAAGUGAUGAUGAAAUUGUAAUAGCAUUGUGUCCAAAAAGGCUUCCCUUAUGCUAUUCAUGUUACUUCUGUAAUGUCCAUGAAGACUCACAGCUAGAGAUGCCUUUGUGACUUCAUUAGCAAAGUUUACCUCCCUGCAUUCUCUUGCUGACAUUAAGUAGAAAAACAUAGAUGCAAUAGAGGUAAAGACAUUAACUUGUACCUACAACCUCCAACUAUAGGUAAAAGUUAUUAACUUAUGCCUUUUGGGAACUCUAUCAGAGCAGUUGGAGGAAAAACUGAAGGAGAAGGAAUCAUUCAUUCUGAAAUCGUGAUUAUUUCUGUUCACCUGGAGAAGGAGACUUGCAGAUCACUAUUUCUUCCCGACGUUUUUUGCUUUUUUGAUACAAAUAUUGGAGUUUUUAGAGACUCGCUGUGCGUUUGGCAAGAUAGCAACACCCAUCUUGGCUUGUGGCAGAUGAGGAAGUUUGGAGAUGACAAGUCUUGGAUUCAAUUAAUAAAUUUUAGUUAUUUACAUCUUAAUAUUCGUCCUUAUGAAGAAAAAUCCAUGAUUUUACCAUUGUGCAUGUCUAACAAUGGAGACUUCUUCAUGCUGAAAUUCACUAGAAAUGCUGAUGAUGAAUACCAAACAAUUCUGUAUAACCAGAGGGAUGGUAAGUCUCAAGUUUUUGUCGUUCCCUCAGGUAGUUUCAGAACUUUGUUGUGGCGCAACCUCAAGAUUUUUACCAAAAGUUUGGUCAUACCUUAUUGAAAUUCUACAGAUAUACGAGGACAGAACAAGAAUGGUACAUUAAACUGUAGUAUUUAUGUCAUUAGUUCUUUAAAUUAGUAUAUCAUCAUUGAGAAAUACAUACUGAUGUGUUGUUGUAACUGUGACAAUUAUAUCAGCACUAUGGCUAAUAUGUUUCAGGCAUAAUUGACUUUA